AAAAAGACAAACCUUGGAUUUCCGUGUCCAACUUUGAUUGUCCGUCUUAUAUGAAAUUUUUUUAUAAUUCAUAUUUUUAUUAUUGUUAGAUGAUAAAACAUGAUUAAUACUUUGUGCGUGACUUGUCUUUUUAAUUUUUUUCAUAUUUUUUUCAAAUAAGACGGACGGUCAAACGUUGGGCACGGAAACCAGGGUUUGUCUUUUU
rfam:Oryza sativa Japonica Group DNA, chromosome 3, cultivar: Nipponbare, complete sequence.